rnacentral:rRNA from 1 species
GUUUGGUAAGAGUGCGUCAAUCGACAUAUCUCGAUACCAGACAUCUUUCUGCACUUCUACCUCUGGUAGUUGUCGUAGAACCUUUACUUUGAGAAAAUUAGAGUGUUUCAAGCAAGCGUUAGCUUUUGAAUACUACAGCAUGGAAUAAUAUUAUAGGACUUUGGUGCCUAUUGUUGGUUUCUGGGCCUAAGGUA